GACUUGAGAGCAGUAGAGGGAGGGUGGAAUUCCCCGGUGUAGUGGUGAAAUGCGUAGAUAUCGGGAGAGAAAACAAAGUGGCGAAAGCGGCCUCCUGGACUGUUUCUGACACUCAGACGCGAAAGCUAGGGUAGCAAACGGGAUUAGAGACCCCGGUAGUCCUAGCUGUAAACGAUGUGAACUUGGCGUCGGCGGGUUCAAAGCCGUCGGUGCCGAAGCUAACGCGAUAAGUUCACCGCCUGGGGACUACGGCCGCAAGGUUAAAACUCAAAGGAAUUGACGGGUCCCCGCACAAGCAGCGGAGCGUGUGGUUUAAUUCGAUGUUACACGAAGAACCUUACCCAGGUUUGACAUGUAGGUGGUAGGGAAGCGAAAGCAGACCGACCCUUCGGGGAGCCUACACAGGUGUUGCAUGGCUGUCGUCAGCUCGUGUCGUGAGAUGUUCGGUUAAGUCCGCCAACGAGCGCAACCCUCGCCGUAUGUUACAGGUGUCAUACGGGACCGCCGGUAUCAAGCCGGAGGAAGGUGGGGAUGACGUCAAGUCAGCAUGGCCUUUAUAUCUGGGGCUACACACACGCUACAAUGGCCGGUACAAUGGGUUGCUAAGCCGCGAGGUAGAGCCAAUCCCCAAAGCCGGCCUCAGUUCAGAUCACAGGCUGCAACCCGCCUGUGUGAAGUUGGAGUUGCUAGUAAACGCGCGUCAGCUAUAGUGCGUUGAAUACGUUCCCGGGGAUUGUACACACCGCCCGUCACGUCAUGGGAGCUGGCAACACCUGAAGCCAGUAGCCUAACCGCUCGAGGGCGCUGUCGAGGGUGGGG
rnacentral:rRNA from 1 species